UACGAAGGGGGCUAGCGUUGUUCGGAAUCACUGGGCGUAAAGCGCACGUAGGCGGGUCGUUAAGUCGGGGGUGAAAUCCUGGAGCUCAACUCCAGAACUGCCUUCGAUACUGGCGAUCUUGAGUCCGGGAGAGGUGAGUGGAACUCCGAGUGUAGAGGUGAAAUUCGUAGAUAUUCGGAAGAACACCAGUGGCGAAGGCGGCUCACUGGCCCGGUACUGACGCUGAGGUGCGAAAGCGUGGGGAGCAAACAGG
rnacentral:rRNA from 1 species